UACGGGGGGGGCAAGCGUGGUUCGGAAUUACUGGGCGUAAAGGGCUCGUAGGUGGCCAACUAAGUCAGACGUGAAAUCCCUCGGCUUAACCGGGGAACUGCGUCUGAUACUGGAUGGCUUGAGUUCGGGAGAGGGAUGCGGAAUUCCAGGUGUAGCGGUGAAAUGCGUAGAUAUCUGGAGGAACACCGGUGGCGAAGGCGGCAUCCUGGACCGACACUGACACUGAGGAGCGAAAGCCAGGGGAGCAAACGGG
rnacentral:rRNA from 1 species